rnacentral:rRNA from 1 species
GAUGAACGCUGGCGGCGUGCCUAAUACAUGCAAGUCGAGCGAACGGACGAGAAGCUUGCUUCUCUGAUGUUAGCGGCGGACGGGUGAGUAACACGUGGAUAACCUACCUAUAAGACUGGGAUAACUUCGGGAAACCGAAGCUAAUACCGGAUAAUAUUUCGAACCGCAUGGUUCAAAAGUGAAAGACGGUCUUGCUGUCACUUAUAGAUGGAUCCGCGCUGCAUUAGCUAGUUGGUAAGGUAACGGCUUACCAAGGCAACGAUGCAUAGCCGACCUGAGAGGGUGAUCGGCCACACUGGAACUGAGACACGGUCCAGACUCCUACGGGAGGCAGCAGUAGGGAAUCUUCCGCAAUGGGCGAAAGCCUGACGGAGCAACGCCGCGUGAGUGAUGAAGGUCUUCGGAUCGUAAAACUCUGUUAUUAGGGAAGAACAUAUGUGUAAGUAACUGUGCACAUCUUGACGGUACCUAAUCAGAAAGCCACGGCUAACUACGUGCCAGCAGCCGCGGUAAUACGUAGGUGGCAAGCGUUAUCCGGAAUUAUUGGGCGUAAAGCGCGUGUAGGCGGUUUUUUAAGUCUGAUGUGAAAGCCCACGGCUCAACCGUGGGGGGUCAUUGGAAACUGGAAAACUUGAGUGCAGAAGAGGAAAGUGGAAUUCCAUGUGUAGCGGUGAAAUGCGCAGAGAUAUGGAGGAACACCAGUGGCGAAGGCGACUUUCUGGUCUGUAACUGACGCUGAUGUGCGAAAGCGUGGGGAUCAAACAGGAUUAGAUACCCUGGUAGUCCACGCCGUAAACGAUGAGUGCUAAGUGUUAGGGGGUUUCCGCCCCUUAGUGCUGCAGCUAACGCAUUAAGCACUCCGCCUGGGGAGUACGACCGCAAGGUUGAAACUCAAAGGAAUUGACGGGGACCCGCACAAGCGGUGGAGCAUGUGGUUUAAUUCGAAGCAACGCGAAGAACCUUACCAAAUCUUGACAUCCUUUGACAACUCUAGAGAUAGAGCCUUCCCCUUCGGGGGACAAAGUGACAGGUGGUGCAUGGUUGUCGUCAGCUCGUGUCGUGAGAUGCUGGGUUAAGUCCCGCAACGAGCGCAACCCUUAAGCUUAGUUGCCAUCAUUAAGUUGGGCACUCUAAGUUGACUGCCGGUGACAAACCGGAGGAAGGUGGGGAUGACGUCAAAUCAUCAUGCCCCUUAUGAUUUGGGCUACACACGUGCUACAAUGGACAAUACAAAGGGCAGCGAAACCGCGAGGUCAAGCAAAUCCCAUAAAGUUGUUCUCAGUUCGGAUUGUAGUCUGCAACUCGACUACAUGAAGCUGGAAUCGCUAGUAAUCGUAGAUCAGCAUGCUACGGUGAAUACGUUCCCGGGUCU